ACGCGGGUCACUUGGGGAGUAGCCAGUCGGUCGGCAGACCGAGCCUCCGCGUCAACAUACUCGGCCUGCAGGUCGUGGCGCGAAGGGAACGGGACACCGUUC
rnacentral:sRNA from 2 species